rnacentral:antisense_RNA from 1 species
GCGCGUUCCGGCUCCGCGCGCCUGCCAGGCCGGGGCCGGCGGCGGAACAGCUUGGGACCCGAAACGCCUCGGCUUUUCUGCGGACCCGCGCCCGGCCGCUGCCGCCGGACGCUUGAAAAGAGGCAGAGUCUUGCUUUGUUGUCCAGGCUGGUCUUGAACUUCUGAGCUCAAGUGAUCCUCCCGCCUUGGCCUCCCAAAGUGCUGAGACUACAGAGAGAGAAUGCUAAUGAGCUGUGAAAUGACCAAAGAUCUGGCAGCAGAAGGGAAAAGAAAAAAUAAUGGGAACAAGAGGAUUUAUCUGACUCAACUGGAGAUGGCUCCCUUCCCUAAUUUAUUGUUGCAUCCUGAAGCUUCCCCCAUGCUGGGCUCAGUGUGAACAAACAGCGCGGGAGAAUGCAACCACUGCAGAGGCAUAUGUUUGAGAUGCCUGGCCACUGGAGGUCAUCUCGUCUACUAUGUUCACCACAGAUAAAGAAUGAAAAGAGAAUAUACAACCUUGUGAUUGCUAGCAGUGAAAGCUCAGAGUUAUGACAUAACAAGUGGUUGAUCAUACUGUAAAACUCAAAUGUGAAGGGAAGGCUGGAACCUACUGGAAACUGAAUGAAGAUCUAACGAAAAGAAGGAACUUUUAGGAACUAGCAGAGACUUCAAAAUGUUGAGAACUCUCUUUUUUCAUAAGAGAAGAUAAAAACUCUGAUGGUCACACUCAUAAAGACAAAAAACAAAUAAAAAACAAACAAAAACUCAGAAUCACAAGAGCAAAGAAAAUGUAGGUAAAACAAUAACAGAAGAGGUAAAGAAAUUUAUGUGAAUUGGGACACUCUGGGGCACAGAACAGAAGAGGAGAAGAAACAUGAAAGUAAUGCUCUGCACAAGGAUGUCUGAGUGUCCUUGAUUCCAAGGGCAUUUAAAAUUAGCCACUGGAUGAGAACCAUGAAAUGCCAUGACUCUUACAGCUCCCAUGAAAGACAUUGGAUGGAACUUAUCCUAACUGGACCAAAUUCUAAAAAAUUUUACAUGAUAUUAUAAUGAGUUGAAAGUUGAAAAAAAAAAACUCUUCUAGAUUACCAAGAAUAAAACACAAAUUUCUAGCUGACUGAAUUAAUUCUCAUUUCUCUAUAGAAAGAUCAUAGAAAUUUUUUUUUAUCAUGCAAAGAAAUAGCUAAAAAUUUACAAAAAUAUAGACGUGCGUUAGGCAGCUCAUGAGUAAAUGCGUUUUUUCCUUUUUUCCUCCAGAAUUUUGUGAUGUUUAUGAUACUUUUUGGCUUUUAAAAUUUUGUAUUUAAUCAGGAUUUAUUACUUCAUUGUAAGUAAAUAUUAAAUUUGUACUCCAUCUUUGUUUGUAAUUUUGUAUAUUUUUCAGUAAAAAGGACUCCCCAGAUUAUGUAAGCUUUAGGCCCCACAAAAUCUAGGCCUGUUGCUGUAUCCUUUCUAGAGCAGUGUUUCUCAAACUUCAAUGUGCAUUUGAAUCUCCUGGGGCUCCUGUUAAAAUAUAGCUUCUGAGAUGAUGCAUUUCUAACAGACUCCCAGGGCUGACACUGCCCAUCUGGGGACCACACUUUGAGAAUCAAAUAUCUAGAACAAUGGUUCUUACCUGGCUGUGCAUUGGGAUCAUUUAUAGUGCUUUUGGAAAAUACAUUGUGUCCAGGUCCCACCCAGUUCUCAGUAGGCUUGGAAUGGGGUCCUACACUUUUUUUUUUUAACUCCACAGUUUGGGAAAGAAGCCUUUUCAUAUAUUGUUGGUGGGAGUACAAAUUGAUACAGCCAUUUUUGAGCUUGAUUUGGCAAUAUCUUCCUUGGAGAAAUCAAAAGCCAGUUGGCAAGCCAGUCUGGAAAAGGCAGUUUACUGAUUCCCACCCAAGGGUCACAAAGCAGGUAUAGAAGGAUGGGCUUUGGCUGAAAUAUAUGAUGGGUACAGGUAUAUUCUCUAUAAUCCAGUAUUUCCACUUCUAAAAAUGUAUCCUAGUAACAUUAUACAUAUCAAGCCUACAUAUAAAGUUGUUCAAUUCCAUAUUAUUUGUAGUAGGGGAAAACUGAAAGCAGUCUACAUGCCCAUCAAUAGAUUAUUCAAAUUAUGGAACAGUUUUCCAAUGACAAAACAAUAGCUAAUCUUAGUUAAGCAAUUAUUAUGUUAUGUAAGGUAGACAUUGUUCUACCUUAUUUAUAAGUAUUAAGUUAGUUUUGAUAACUAUCAUAUUUUCAUUUUACAAGUGACAUAAUUUAUAUUAUUGACAUGGGAAGAUGUCCAAGGAUAUAAUAAGCAAAAAGCAAGUAGCAGAACAUUAUGUAUAUUAUGCAUUACCAUUAUAAUAUACUAAAAAGUAAUGCACUUGAUUCUGAUGCACACUCCCCAGUAGGUAACAACUUAUCUAGUGUAAAAAUGAAAGAACAUUCUGGGCCGGGCGCGGUGGCUCCUGCCUGUAAUCCCAGCACUUUGGGAGGCCCAGGCGGGCGGAUCACAAGGUCAGGAGAUCGAGACCAUCCUGGCUAACAUGGUGAAACCCCGUCUCUACUAAAAAUAC